rnacentral:rRNA from 1 species
CCUACGGGAGGCAGCAGUGGGGAAUAUUGCGCAAUGGGCGAAAGCCUGAUGCAGCGACGCCGCGUGAGUGAUGAAGGUCUUCGGAUCGUAAAGCUCUGUCAGCAGGGCAGAACGGGCACUGUUCUAAUCAUCAGUGGAUUGACGUUACCUGCAAAGGAAGCACCGGCUAACUCCGUGCCAGCAGCCGCGGUAAUACGGAGGGUGCGAGCGUUAAUCGGAAUUACUGGGCGUAAAGCGCUCGUAGGCGGUCUGUCAAGUCCAGGGUGAAAUCCCCGGGCUCAACGUGGGAACUGCAUUUGAAACUGGCAAACUGGAGUGUGGGAGAGGAUAGUGGAAUUCCAGGUGUAGGGGUGAAAUGCGUAGAUAUCUGGAGGAAGAGCAGUGGCGAAGGCGACUCUCUGGAACAUAACUGACGCUGAGGAGCGAAAGCGUGGGUAGCAAACAGGAUUAGAUACCCGGGUAGUC